GUCGGGAUCGAUCCCACGGACUCCUUGUAUACCAAGUGAGCUAGUUAACAUCUCGCCACCGUGGCGCCCGAUACAGGCAUCAGAGUGGUCCGCACGAGUCCUGCGAUUCAAGGCGGAAGACGCAAGGCCAGGUGGUGGGCGGCUGUUAGGGCUGUUCUUGGGAGGUCGCGCGUCUACUGUGCCGCAGGUGUGGGAUCUGCCAAAGGGUAGGAAAGCGUUCACCGACGUGCGGUGGUAGCAACGGUGGCCGUGAAGACAUAUCUAUCCCGAAUGCAAUGCAAUAGGAAUGCACAACGCGUCUGAAUGUGGCUGCAUUUGAAGUCGCUGUAUACAAACCGUGGACAUGUUUUUUUUACUUUAAUGGAGAGUGGCAGUCACAGGCAAAGUGUAAAAUAGGAGGGGCCUUGAGACUGGACUUGAACAGGGCCAUGGAGUCGACAGCACGGAUGGCUGGGGGGAAGGGAGUUCCAGACAAUUGGAGCAGCAGAGGAGAAUCAGCGACCUCCCACUGAGCGACGGUUGCUUAAGGGCUUCUACAAAAACCUUGGUUAGAUGAGUAGCGUGAGAUAAGAGCGGAGAGGUAGGAGAGCGCAUAGGAGUAAAGCGAGCUAGAGUGAAACAGGAGGCGAGAGCUGGGAAAAGGCAGUUAAUUAUUCACAGCUAUUGCGGCGACAUUCUGUUUAUGCAGGGAAUUGGUAUUAAUAUCCACAUUACGUAAAAGCUAAUAGGCUAAUUGGGUGCGUGUGUUCGCGUGCGCGUGUGUGUGCGCGUGUGUGUGCGUGUGGCCAACGUGGGCAAGAGAGAAUUAGCAAUGAGAAGCGAACCCUGAUGGAAAUAUUCACGCUCAACGGGCCUCUCUAGCAGCGGCCAAGUUUGAAAGCGGUUUGCCGGCACCACCUGCGUCGUGCUGCCCACACCAUCUGCUCAGCUACUGGAAGAGAAGAUCGUAUCCGCGAAACAUCUCAAAUCGUGCCGAACCAACACGGGCCUGCGACCCGACAACCCAACGGAGAGAGAGAAAUGCGAAACAAGCCACCUGGCCACAAAUGAAAGCGCAACGAAGUGGCUUGCCAC